rnacentral:rRNA from 1 species
UACAGAGGGGGCAAGCGUUAUUCGGAAUUACUGGGCGUAAAGAGCUCGUAGGCGGUGUGUCGCGUCGGCCGUGAAAACCUGCAGCUUAACUGUGGGCUUGCGGUCGAUACGGGCAUCACUGGAGUUCGGCAGGGGAGACUGGAAUUCCUGGUGUAGCGGUGAAAUGCGCAGAUAUCAGGAGGAACACCGGUGGCGAAGGCGGGUCUCUGGGCCGAUACUGACGCUGAGGAGCGAAAGCGUGGGGAGCAAACAGG